UACAUGGGGUGCAAACGUUGCUCGGAAUCAUUGGGCGUAAAGCGCGCGUAGGCGGCUCGAUCAGUCUGCUGUAAAAGUCAAAGGCUCAACCUUUGAAUGCCGGUGGAUACUGUCGGGCUAGAGUCCGGAAGAGGCGAGUGGAAUUCCUGGUGUAGCGGUGGAAUGCGCAGAUAUCAGGAGGAACACCAACGGCGAAGGCAGCUCGCUGGGACGGUACUGACGCUAAGGCGCGAAAGCGUGGGGAGCGAACAGG
rnacentral:rRNA from 1 species